GACGAACGCUGGCGGCGUGCUUAACACAUGCAAGUCGAACGGAAAGGCCCUGCUUUUGUGGGGUGCUCGAGUGGCGAACGGGUGAGUAACACAUGAGUAACCUGCCCUUGACUUUGGGAUAACUUCAGGAAACUGGGGCUAAUACCGGAUAGGAGCUCCUGCUGCAUGGUGGGGGUUGGAAAGUUUCGGCGGUUGGGGAUGGACUCGCGGCUUAUCAGCUUGUUGGUGGGGUAGUGGCUUACCAAGGCUUUGACGGGUAGCCGGCCUGAGAGGGUGACCGGCCACAUUGGGACUGAGAUACGGCCCAGACUCCUACGGGAGGCAGCAGUGGGGAAUAUUGCACAAUGGGCGGAAGCCUGAUGCAGCAACGCCGCGUGCGGGAUGACGGCCUUCGGGUUGUAAACCGCUUUCGCCUGUGACGAAGCGUGAGUGGCGGUAAUGGGUAAAGAAGCACCGGCUAACUACGUG
rnacentral:rRNA from 1 species